rnacentral:rRNA from 1 species
UGAAUCAUCGAAUCUUUGAACGCACCUUGCGCCCCUUGGCAUUCCGAGGGGCACACCCGUUUGAGUGUCGUGAAAUCAUCAAAACCCUUUUCUUUUUGAGAGAAAGGGGUUUUUGGACUUGGAGGUUUGAUGCUUGCUUUCACUUUUGAAAGCAAGCUCCUCCCAAAUAAAUUAGUUGGGUCCGCUUUGUUGAUCCUUGACGUAAUAAGAUGUUUCUACGUUUUGGAUGUGGCAUUGUCAUUUGGAUGCCUGCUUCUAACUGUCUCAUGGACAAUGAUGGUGCUCCGGUCACUGCCACUUUACAUUGGCAGGGAGGCUUGGCCCCACAAAUGAACCCUUGACCUCAAAUCGGGUGAGACUACCCGCUGAACUUAAGCAUAUCAA